rnacentral:snRNA from 1 species
UUGCUUCAGCAGCACAUAUACUAAAAUUGGAAUGAUACAGAAAAGACCAGCAUGGCCCCUGUGCAAGGAUGACAUGCAAAUUUGUGAAGCAUUCCAUAUUUUU